UCCCAGAUGGCUCAGGGGUAAAAGAACCUGCCUGAAAUGCAGGCGGUGCCGGUUCGACCUCUGGGUCAGGGAG
rnacentral:tRNA from 1 species